GGCCAGACUCCUACGGGAGGCAGCAGUGGGGAAUAUUGCACAAUGGGGGAAACCCUGAUGCAGCGACGCCGCGUGAGUGAAGAAGCAUUUCGGUAUGUAAAGCUCUAUCAGCAGGGAAGAAAAUGACGGUACCUGACUAAGAAGCCCCGGCUAACUACGUGCCAGCAGCCGCGGUAAUACGUAGGGGGCAAGCGUUAUCCGGAUUUACUGGGUGUAAAGGGAGCGUAGACGGCAUGGCAAGUCAGAUGUGAAAGCCCGGGGCUCAACCCCGGGACUGCAUUUGAAACUGUCAGGCUGGAGUGCAGGAGAGGUAAGUGGAAUUCCUAGUGUAGCGGUGAAAUGCGUAGAUAUUAGGAGGAACACCAGUGGCGAAGGCGGCUUACUGGACUGUAACUGACGUUGAGGCUCGAAAGCGUGGGGAGCAAACAGGAUUAGAUACCCCAGUA
rnacentral:rRNA from 1 species